rnacentral:lncRNA from 1 species
GGAGCGCGGUGUGUGCGAGAGCGCCGGGGGUGUCCGCGCAGGGAUAGCUGGUGUGCGUGCAGCGGAAGGCGCUAACUGCCCUGGAUGUGGAGACCCGCGGACUGGACGUGAGAGGCGGGCAGGGGCAGUUGGGGCAGCUGCCCCUACAACACUGAAGAAUUGGAAUAGGAAAGAGUGUGGGGGUAGGGGACGGGGACUCUUUGUCUGCAGUUGGAAUGCGCGGAGGGGCAUGGUGGAAUGUGUCGCGUCCCGGGACCGGACGACAGGAGGCAUGUUCUGCGCUAGCACCGUGACUUUGUUCCCAGCGUGGGGACUGUGGGAGAGAUGGAGAGAGACUGGUACAGAAAUGGUGAGACAAGGAGAGAGCCAUAAAGAGGAAGACAGAGAGAAAGAAGACAAAUGCAUAAAGAGGUUCAGAGACGUGUGACUGUGGAGAUCGAAGGCCUGGUUUUAGGGCUAGCGAACACCUUCUCCCUUUGGUUUUGGUCCACAGAAGACUGGUGAUACAGACUCCUUAUCAGUGUAAUUGUGGGGACUGGUCACCAGCUCUUGCUUGAGCUUUUCCAGAAGAAACUUCACUACUGAAAUAUUCCAAGAGGACUUGAUGCUGCCACAAAGAGAAGAGAAUGAAUAAAGUUGUCGGCUUUGUAAGAGCCAGACAAACAGAGAUACCCAGCACUAAUCAACUUUGUGGCAAAUCCCUCCACAGCCUAAGAAGGAUCCCUAGCAGCAAUCCUCAAGAGCCUCAGCAGAUUGGAGAGAUGCCUCUUUGAUUCUGUCCCAGAGCUAAAGAUUGGAAUAACUGUCCCUCCCCCUCUAAACCCACAGUCUGCCACAAGAACAUUUUAAACCUUCCUCCAUGAUGGGCAGCAGAACUCCCUGACUAGUCCUCCAGAUCCUUCUCAAGCACAGAAUAGAGAGAGCAUGAUGGUGAGUGAGGAUACUGUCCUUCCUGCAGGUCUUCAGUUCCACCACACUCUCCUAAGGGAAGGAAGAAGCCAGGCCUCAAUGCUGUACCUCUCUCUGGAGGCAGCAGGCACAAGUGGAAUGGAAGUGAUGGAAAAUCCUGCUUUUAUGCAAAUUGUAACUAUAAACUCAUUAUAGUCAAUAUGAACAUUGUAUGGCUAAAGAAUAUCUCCAGCCAGGCAUGGUGGCUCACGCCUGUAAUCCCAACACUUUGGGAGGCCGAGGUGGGUGAAUUGCCUGAUCUCAGGAGUUCAAGACCAGCGUGGCCAACAUGGUGAAACCCCAUCUCUACUAAAAUACAAAAUUAGCCAGGCGUGGUGGUGCAAGUCUGUAAUCCCAACUACUCGGGAGGGUGAGGCAGGAGAAUCGCUUGAACCUGGGAGGCUUGCAGUGAGCUGAAAUCACGCCACUGCACUCCAGCCUGGGUGACAGAGCGAGACUAAAAACAAUAUCCCCACAGUUGUCAGAAAAAAGCUUUUGUGAGACCAGCCUGGGCAACUAAAAUACAAAAAUACAAAAAAUAAGCCAGGCAUGGUGGUGCAUGCCUGUAAUCCCAGCUACUCGGGAGGCUGAGGUGGGAGAUCACUUGAGCCUGGGAAGUCGAAGCUGCAGUGAGCCAUGAUCACACCACUGCACUCCAGCCUGGGCAAUGGGAGUGAGACCCUGUCUCAAGAAAGAAAAAAAAAAAAAAGAAGUUUUUGGGUACAGAGUUGAUCCCAAAGACUGUGGUCACUUUAAAGAAGGUUUCUCAACCUCUUCACUAUUGGCAUUUUGAGCUGGAUAAUUCUUUGUUAUGGGGGCUGUCGUGUGCACUGCAGGAUGUUUAGCAGAACACCCACUAGAUGUCAGUAGCAUUCUCCUUCCCCUGCCCCCGGCCACCCACCAGUUGUAAUAAUCACAAACGUCUCCAGAUGUUUCCAAAUGUCUCCUGAGGGUAAAAUCACCCCAGGUUGAGAACUACUGCCCUAGAACUUCUCUAGGUUUGGUCAGCUGCCAGGAUGGGGACUCCCAGCUCAGCAGGAUGUUCUUUGGGCUCCCAGCCACGCCAAGAAGUGUUCAGGCAGACCUGGUUCAGGCCAGUCCCUUCCUGGCUAAGAGCUCUUGGAAUGACUGGAAUCUCCAAACCUCUAUAACUGAGCUGAAGGUCUAGUGACUCUCUGCAUCUCUGAAGCUUGAGACCACCUCAGGACAGCUUCACUUGCUUUUCCACCCAAGGUGCCCCUUGUCACUUACUCUGCACACUAGCUUAAUUUGCAGGCAAUUUCCAGAGUUACCCUUUGGUGACCAAUCUGCUCAAUCCCUUAAAGAUCUUCUCAUCAGGAUUAUUAGAACACUAGGAAGGCUGGGCAUGGUGGCUCACGCCUGUAAUCCCAGUACUUUGGGAGGCCGAGGCGGGUGGAUAACCUGAGCUCAGGAGUUCGAGACCAGCCUGACCAACAUGGCAAAACCUGGUCUCUACUGAAAAUUCAAAAAUUAGCUGGGGGUGGUGGCACGUGCCUGUAAUCCCAGCUACUCAGGAG